GAUGAACGCUGGCGGCGUGCCUAAUACAUGCAAGUCGAGCGAACAGAUAAGGAGCUUGCUCCUUUGAAGUUAGCGGCGGACGGGUGAGUAACACGUGGGUAACCUACCUAUAAGACUGGGAUAACUUCGGGAAACCGGAGCUGAUACCGGAUAACAUUUAGAACCGCAUGGCUCUAAAGUGAAAGAUGGUUUUGCUAUCACUUAUAGAUGGACCCGCGCCGUAUUAGCUAGUUGGUAAGGUAACGGCUUACCAAGGCGACGAUACGUAGCCGACCUGAGAGGGUGAUCGGCCACACUGGAACUGAGACACGGUCCAGACUCCUACGGGAGGCAGCAGUAGGGAAUCUUCCGCAAUGGGCGAAAGCCUGACGGAGCAACGCCGCGUGAGUGAUGAAGGGUUUCGGCUCGUAAAACUCUGUUAUUAGGGAAGAACAAAUGUGUAAGUAACUGUGCACAUCUUGACGGUACCUAAUCAGAAAGCCACGGCUAACUACGUGCCAGCAGCCGCGGUAAUACGUAGGUGGCAAGCGUUAUCCGGAAUUAUUGGGCGUAAAGCGCGCGUAGGCGGUUUCUUAAGUCUGAUGUGAAAGCCCACGGCUCAACCGUGGAGGGUCAUUGGAAACUGGGAAGCUUGAGUGCAGAAGAGGAAAGUGGAAUUCCAUGUGUAGCGGUGAAAUGCGCAGAGAUAUGGAGGAACACCAGUGGCGAAGGCGACUUUCUGGUCUGUAACUGACGCUGAUGUGCGAAAGCGUGGGGAUCAAACAGGAUUAGAUACCCUGGUAGUCCACGCCGUAAACGAUGAGUGCGAAGUGUUAGGGGGUUUCCGCCCCUUAGUGCUGCAGCUAACGCAUUAAGCACUCCGCCUGGGGAGUACGACCGCAAGGUUGAAACUCAAAGGAAUUGACGGGGACCCGCACAAGCGGUGGAGCAUGUGGUUUAAUUCGAAGCAACGCGAAGAACCUUACCAAAUCUUGACAUCCUUUGAAAACUCUAGAGAUAGAGCCUUCCCCUUCGGGGGACAAAGUGACAGGUGGUGCAUGGUUGUCGUCAGCUCGUGUCGUGAGAUGUUGGGUUAAGUCCCGCAACGAGCGCAACCCUUAAGCUUAGUUGCCAUCAUUAGGUUGGGCACUCUAGGUUGACUGCCGGUGACAAACCGGAGGAAGGUGGGGAUGACGUCAAAUCAUCAUGCCCCUUAUGAUUUGGGCUACACACGUGCUACAAUGGACAAUACAAAGGGCAGCUAAACCGCGAGGUCAUGCAAAUCCCAUAAAGUUGUUCUCAGUUCGGAUUGUAGUCUGCAACUCGACUACAUGAAGCUGGAAUCGCUAGUAACCGUAGAUCAGCAUGCUACGGUGAAUACGUUCCCGGGUCU
rnacentral:rRNA from 1 species